rnacentral:rRNA from 1 species
UACGUAGGGUGCAAGCGUUAUCCGGAAUUAUUGGGCGUAAAGAGCUCGUAGGCGGUUUGUCGCGUCUGCUGUGAAAACUGGAGGCUCAACCUCCAGCCUGCAGUGGGUACGGGCAAACUAGAGUGCGGUAGGGGAGAUUGGAAUUCCUGGUGUAGCGGUGGAAUGCGCAGAUAUCAGGAGGAGCACCGAUGGCGAAGGCAGGUCUCUGGGCAUUAACUGACGCUGAGGAGCGAAAGCGUGGGGAGCAAACAGG